rnacentral:ncRNA from 1 species
UUUGAAGCGAACCCGGGGAACUGAAACAUCUCAGUACCCGGAGGAAAGGACAUCAACGAGACUCCGUCAGUAGUGGCGAGCGAACGCGGACCAGGCCAGCGCCUGGCAUGACGCUUACCGGAACGGCCUGGAAUGGCCGGCAGGAUGGGUGACAGCCCCGUACGGGACAAGCCAAUGCCAGGACACGAGUAAGGCGGGACACGUGAAAUCCUGUCUGAAGAUGGGGGGACCACCCUCCAAGCCUAAGUACUCCUCAGCGACCGAUAGCGAACCAGUACCGUGAGGGAAAGGUGAAAAGCACCCCGACGAGGGGAGUGAAACAGUUCCUGAAACCGGAUGCUUACAAACAGUGGGAGCCCAAGAUGCGUUCUGGGUGACCGCGUACCUUUUGUAUAAUGGGUCAGCGACUUAGAGUUACGAGCAAGCUUAAGCCGGUAGGCGAAGGCGCAGCGAAAGCGAGUCUGAACAGGGCGUUCAGUUCGUGGCUCUAGACCCGAAACCAGGUGAUCUAGCCAUGCGCAGGAUGAAGGUGCGGUAACACGCACUGGAGGUCCGAACCAGUGCCCGUUGAAAAGGUCUUGGAUGACGUGUGGUUAGGGGUGAAAGGCCAAUCAAACCUGGACAUAGCUGGUUCUCCGCGAAAGCUAUUUAGGUAGCGCCUCGUGUGAAUGCCUUGCGGGGUAGAGCACUGGAUGGGCUAGGGCCGCCCACAGCGGUACCGCACUCAACCAAACUCCGAAUACGCAAGAGCACUGCACGGGAGACACACGGC